CCUACGGGCGGCAGCAGUGAGGAAUAUUGGUCAAUGGUCGGGAGCCUGAACCAGCCAAGCCGCGUGAGGGAUGAAGGUACAGCGUAUCGUAAACCUCUUUUGUCAGGGAACAAAGGCGGGGACUAGUCCCCGGAUGAGGGUACCUGAAGAAAAAGCAUCGGCUAACUCCGUGCCAGCAGCCGCGGUAAUACGGAGGAUGCGAGCGUUAUCCGGAUUUAUGGGGUUUAAAGGGUGCGCAGGCGGUCUGUUAAGUCAGCGGUAAAAGCCCGGGGCUCAACCCCGGCGAGCCGUUGAAACUGGCGGUCUGGAGUUGGAGAGAAGUACGCGGAAUGCGCGGUGUAGCGGUGAAAUGCUUAGAUAUCGCGCAGAACCCCGAUUGCGAAGGCAGCGUACCGGCUCCACACUGACGCUGAGGCACGAAAGCGUGGGUAUCGAACAGGAUUAGAUACCCGUGUAGUC
rnacentral:rRNA from 1 species